UUGGACAUUAUCCAGGGGCUCAGCUUGGUGUUGGAGGUUACAGAGGUAGAGCAGGCCCAAAGCAAGGUGGACAUGGAACCCAGGGAGCCUAUGGGGCCAGUCUGGGCACAGGAAUGGCUUUGGGGGCUGGACUUCUAAAUGGGCUGGGACUGGGUUUGGGCCAGGGAGGGAAAC